rnacentral:rRNA from 1 species
UACGUAGGGUGCAAGCGUUGUCCGGAAUUAUUGGGCGUAAAGAGCUCGUAGGCGGUUUGUCGCGUCGAAUGUGAAAACCCGGGGCUCAACCCCGGGCCUGCAUUCGAUACGGGCAGACUAGAGUUCGGUAGGGGAGUCUGGAAUUCCUGGUGUAGCGGUGAAAUGCGCAGAUAUCAGGAGGAACACCGGUGGCGAAGGCGGCGACCUGGUCCGACACUGACGCUGAGGCGCGAAAGCGUGGGGAGCAAACAGG